rnacentral:rRNA from 1 species
UGCCAGCCGCCGCGGUAAUACGGAGGGUGCGAGCAUUGUUCGGAAUUACUGGGCGUAAAGCGCGCGUAGGCGGGUCUUUAAGUCCAUUGUGAAAGCCCGGGGCUCAACCUCGGAAUUGCAGUGGAUACUAUUGAUCUUGAAUGCUUGAGAGGGUAUCGGAAUUCCAGGUGUAGGAGUGAAAUCCGUAGAUAUCUGGAGGAACAUCCGAGGCGAAGGCGGAUACCUGGUGAUGCAUUGACGCUGAGGCACGAAAGCGUGGGUAGCGAACAGGAUUAGAUA